rnacentral:tRNA from 1 species
GCCUCCUUGGCCUAGUGGUCUAAGGCAACGCCUUGUCAUGGCGUAGAUCGCCGGUUCGAAUCCGGUAGGGGGCG